UAACUGUUAUUUAUUACGAUAUUAUCUUAUGAUUUUUAUUUAAUAUAAUUAUUUUCGAAUUAUUAUAAAUUAAUGUUAAUUUCUUGUGAAUGUGCAGUGGGGAAGGAGGUGUAAGCGCUUGUAGCGUGAUGACAGCGAUGAGUUUUUUGGGUGCAUUGUUUCGCUUCCGUGCAGAAAUCUGGGGUUGCUGGUCUUUUCUGAAGCUUCCUGAGUUGAUCGUACAAGAAAGCCUCAAAAUGUCUAGUUGAUCGUAUUUCGCCACGCCAAGUGUUGGACCAGACAUUCCCGCUUUAUGGAAGGCAUCCACCUAAAGAAAAUUAUGUUAUUAUAACAUAAUUAAUGCAAUCAAAUGAUAUCGUCGUAGAGUGAUUUGUACAUCUCUGGUUACGGUCUCCAUGUUAAGAGUUUGCUGUUUAUCGGUGUUUGGGCAGCAUUUCAUAAUCCUUCUUCUUGGUAUUCUCGAUACUCGAGGACUAGGC